rnacentral:rRNA from 1 species
CAGUAGCCGCGGGAAUACAGAGGGUGCAAGCGUUAAUCGGAAUUACUGGGCGUAAAGCGCGCGUAGGUGGUUUGUUAAGUUGGAUGUGAAAUCCCCGGGCUCAACCUGGGAACUGCAUCCAAAACUGGCAAGCUAGAGUAUGGUAGAGGGUGGUGGAAUUUCCUGUGUAGCGGUGAAAUGCGUAGAUAUAGGAAGGAACACCAGUGGCGAAGGCGACCACCUGGACUGAUACUGACACUGAGGUGCGAAAGCGUGGGGAGCAAACAGGAUUAGAUACCCGUGUAGUCCCUGUCUCUUAUAA